CGAAGGGAAAUGAAAGUAUUUAUUGUAUAUAUUUAGCAAUUUAUUGAAUAGCAUUUUAUGCCACCGCUGAUUUUUUUUACGUCAAUAACUCAAGAGGAAACAAUGGAUACAAUAUGUGGCCUUAAAAAAGCGUACUAUUUUCGCAAAAAAAUGGUUCGCAAACUUUCAUAGAAUCAAAGCGUUUGAAACAAAAAUAUUAUUAUAUAAAUAAUAAAAAACAAGAUAACACUACAAGUCUUUCAAAGGUAUUCUGGAAUUAACGGAUGCAAUUUGGUAAAACUUGGUUUUGACUAGUACACACCCGCCAUUGUUCGGACCAUCGACAGAAUAACGUUCGUGUUUUUCAGAUUUCUCCAUCCAAGACAUAGAUUUGCUGAUGAAUAACAUCGCAAAGAUCUUGGUGUAUUGUCUUCAUACUUGGCCACAACAACCCUUCAAAUAGACCAGACUAAACUAAAUUAACUUGACCACCAUAUUAACAUUCAAGAAGUUCGGCCUACAUGUCAGAUUUAUGAAUGUGAACAGCAGGAUAUCGAUUUUAAGGAUGCUUUAGGGUCAAUGACAAUGAAAUCACAAGAGAUAAAGGCUAAAAUGUGAGACUGUCAAUCUGACUAACCUUGAAGUGAACAAAUGGAAAAAAUGUCUCUUUCAAUAGCAUGGGCUUUUAAGGAAGAGGAAACAGAGGCGCUUAUAUGAUAGAACAGUAAAAGCAGGAGUGAUAAGGAAAGAUACAUGUAGAAUAAGAUGUGUCUUCAUGUCUGAAACACUAAAGAAAUAGAAAUAUUGUGGUUUUAUAAACUUUAAAAGAAAUUGGAAUAUCAGGAGACUGCCUGCCCUUUGCAAUGUUGGAUAAUGAGUUCUUAGAUGUGAUGUCGAAAGUCUCAUGAAUAUAGUACCAUGACUUAAUCUAAUUAGAAAAAGAAAUGACAUUGAGGAGAAAACUAGUCACCAGUCUUUCACCAAGAACUAGAGAUAACUUUCCAAUAUUUGAAAUAUCAUAAUAUGUAUAGAACUUUAUUGAGCCACCAGUUUUUCACCAGGAAAAUAAGAUCACUUAAAUAUUUUUAGCUCACCUGUCACAAAGUGACAGGGUGAGCUUUUUCGAUCGCUUUUCGUCUGGCGUCCACUUUAAAUGACAUCUCCUCAUAAACCACUAAGCCAAUUUCAUCCAAACUUCACAGGAAUGUUUCUUUGGUGGUCACCUCUAAAUAUUGUUCAUAGAACACUGGUUGCCAUGGCAACCAAAAGAAAAAAACUUAAAGUAUCUUCUUUUAAAGAACCUAAAGAGCUAGAGCUUAGACAAAGUAUCUUCUUUUAAAGGUAUGAAACAUCUUCUAGUGAGUGUCUACCAAGUUUGUUCAAAUAAAAGCCCUGGGGGUCAAAAUUGGCCCCGCCCCAGGGCGUCAUUGAAUUCCCCUAUAUGCAUAUAGUAAAAACUUAAAAAUCUUCUUUUAAAGAACCAAAAUAGCUAGAGUUUAGAUAUCAAGCAUGAAACAUCUUCUUGUAAGUGUCUACAAAGUUUGUUCAAAUAAAAGCCCUGGGGUCAAAAUUGGCCCCUCCCCGGGGGUCAUUGAUUUUCCUUAUAUGUGUAUAGCAAAAACUUAAAAACCUUCUUUGAAAAAACCUAAAUAGCUAGAGUUUAGAUAUUAAGCAUGAAACAUCUUCUGGUAAGUGUGUACAAGGCCCCACCCAAGGGGUUUCAUUGUUUUUAGCUCGACUAUUCGAUAAGAAUAAGUAGAGCUAUUGCAGUCACCCGAGCGUCGGCGUCGGCGUAACCACUUAUGUUAAAGUUUUUGUAAUAGUUCAAAUAUUUUCAAAGUCCAUUGACAUAUGGCUUUGAAACUUUGCACACUUGUUCACCAUCAUGACCCCAACCUGUAGACAGGAGGAGGUAACUCUAUCAAGCAUUUUGACAUAAUUAUGCCCCUUUUUCGACUUAGAAUUUACGUUAAAGUUUUUGUAAUAGUUCAAAUAUUUUCAAAGUCCAUUGACAUAUGGCUUUGAAACUUUGCACACUUGUUCACCAUCAUGACCCCAACC